AUUGAACGCUGGCGGCAUGCCUUACACAUGCAAGUCGAACGGUAACAGGUCUUCGGAUGCUGACGAGUGGCGAACGGGUGAGUAAUACAUCGGAACGUGCCUAGUAGUGGGGGAUAACUACUCGAAAGAGUGGCUAAUACCGCAUGAGAUCUACGGAUGAAAGCAGGGGAUCGCAAGACCUUGUGCUACUAGAGCGGCCGAUGGCAGAUUAGGUAGUUGGUGGGAUAAAAGCUUACCAAGCCGACGAUCUGUAGCUGGUCUGAGAGGACGAGCAGCCAAACUGGGGCUAGGACGAGGCCCAGACUCCUACGGGAGGCAGCAGUGGGGAAUUUUGGACAAUGGGUGCGAGCCUGAUCCAGCAAUGCCGCGUGCAGGAUGAAGGUCUUCGGGUUGUAAACUGCUUUUGUACGGAACGAAAAGCCCUGGGUUAAUACCCUGGGGUCAUGACGGUACCGUAAGAAUAAGCGCCGGCUAACUACGUGCCAGCCGCCGCCGUAAAAC
rnacentral:rRNA from 1 species